AUGUGGGUUCAUGGUGGUGAAGGUGGGGGGUUGCCAUGGUGAUGGUGGUGGCCAUGGGUUUCGAGGCUGAGGUUUCUGGGUUGCCGUGGGGUUUCUAGGGUUUAUUUGGAAGAGAGCUGAAAAUGAGAGAGAGGAGAGAGAUGAGAGAGAAAAGAUAUAAUUUUGAUAUAUAUUAUUUUAUUUUGUAAA